UACGGGGGGGGCAAGCGUUGUUCGGAAUUACUGGGCGUAAAGGGCGCGUAGGCGGUUCGCUAAGUUGGAUGUGAAAACUCUGGGCUCAACCCAGAGCCUGCAUCCAAAACUGGCGGGCUAGAGUUCUGGAGGGGGUAGCGGAAUUCCUGGUGUAGCGGUGAAAUGCGUAGAUAUCAGGAGGAACACCGGUGGCGAAGGCGGCUACCUGGACAGAAACUGACGCUGAGGCGCGAAAGCUAGGGGAGCAAACAGGAUUAGAAACCCCCGUAGUCC
rnacentral:rRNA from 1 species